CCAUGCUUAUGGCUGAGAGGUGAUGGCAGAUCUUUUUCUGCUGAGCAUUGACUAAGAUGAAGCGCGGGGCUUAGUGGGCAGCUGAAAUCGGAGACGCGUGCCUCAGAGAGCAGGAUGGAGCCUCAGAUCGGAGGCUUUUCCAGGCCGCGUCGUCUGUCACUCUGCCCUCUGCCCGACACCACACCUGCUCACCAGACCUCGGAUAGCCUUCUGGAAGUGUCAGAAGAACACGCCUAGGGAAAUACUGAGCCCCAUCGGUUCCUACGGAAAAAAGAUGAUAAAAGUCAGCUGCCACAUUAUGAGAAGCCUUGUGGAGAGACCCUUGGACAAGAAAGUGAGAGAGACUGCUCCACCCACCAAAUCCUGUGAGGAAGUGAGUCCUGCUCAUAGCUAUGCCAAUGGCCUUGGAAGCAGCUCCUGUCCUUCAUGAACCAAGUCUCCUCUAACUCUGGAUGACAUCUCAGCUGCAAUCAGAGGAUUCAGAGUCAGAGGAGCCAUCUAAAUCAAGUUUGAUUCUUUUUGAUAUGGGAAUGGUGAGUUAUAAAUGCAAACUGUGUUAAAACGCAAGGUUUCAGAGCAAUUUGUUACACAGCCAUGCAUAAAGUCGU